GCCAGUGUGGUGCAGUGGUUUGAGUGUUGUCCUAUGACUCUGGAGACCAGGGUUUGAUUCCCUGCUCAGUCA
rnacentral:tRNA from 1 species